rnacentral:rRNA from 1 species
UAUGGAUUGUGUCAGCCGCCGCGCGGUAAUACGUAGGGGGCGAGCGUUGUCCGGAUUUAUUGGGCGUGAAGAGCUCGUAGGCGGUUCAACAAGUCGGUCGUGAAAGUUCAGGGCUCAACCCUGAAAUGUCGAUCGAUACUGUUGUGACUAGGAUAUGGUAGAGGUGAGUGGAAUUCCGAGUGUAGCGGUGAAAUGCGUAGAUAUUCGGAGGAACACCAAUUGCGAAGGCAGCUCACUGGGCCACUAUCGACGCUGAGGAGCGAAAGCUAGGGGAGCAAACAGGAUUAGAUACCCUGGUAGUCCUAGCUGUAAACGAUGGAUACUAGAUGUAGGAAUUGGAUUGACGAUUUCUGUAUCGUAGCUAACGCGUUAAGUAUCCCGCCUGGGGAGUACGGUCGCAAGACUAAAACUCAAAGGAAUUGACGGGACCCCGCACAAGCGGCGGAGCAUGCGGCUUAAUUCGAUGAUACCCGUAGAACCUUACCUGGACUUGACAUAUAGGGAAAAGUUAUAGAAAUAUAAUGUGCGUAAGCGCCCUAUACAGGUGGUGCAUGGCUGUCGUCAGCUCGUGUCGUGAGAUGUUGGGUUAAGUCCCGCAACGAGCGCAACCCCUGUCCUAUGUUGCCAGCAAGUAAUGUUGGGGACUCAUAGGAGACUGCCGGUGAUAAACCGGAGGGAGGUGGGGACGACGUCAAGUCAUCAUGCCCCUUAUGUCCAGGGCUGCACGCAUGCUACAAUGGCAAGUACAACGAGUCGCGAUACCGCAAGGUGGAGCAAAUCUCUUAAAGCUUGUCUCAGUUCGGAUAGGAGUCUGCAACUCGACUCCUUGAAGUUGGAGUCGCUAGUAACCGCAAAUCAGCUAAGUUGCGGUGAAUACGUUCUCGGGGUUUGCACACACCGCCCGUCA